rnacentral:lncRNA from 1 species
UUUGUGUUCUUGUCUUAUAACCGUGUGUUGUUGUUAUUGCAUCUUGUUCAUCAAGUGUUGUUGUUGUUUUUAGUGUGUUUUACUCUUGAUAUCAUUUCCUUUCUUGUUCUUCUUGUGAAUCCGAGAGAGGUCAUCAAAGGGGGUCCUCGAUUCUUCAAAUCGUUGACUAUUUUGGUGUAUGUUUUCGUGUCUUCCUUGUCG